GAUGAACGCUGGCGGCGUGCCUAAUACAUGCAAGUCGAGCGAACAGACGAGGAGCUUGCUCCUCUGACGUUAGCGGCGGACGGGUGAGUAACACGUGGAUAACCUACCUAUAAGACUGGGAUAACUUCGGGAAACCGGAGCUAAUACCGGAUAAUAUAUUGAACCGCAUGGUUCAAUAGUGAAAGACGGUUUUGCUGUCACUUAUAGAUGGAUCCGCGCCGCAUUAGCUAGUUGGUAAGGUAACGGCUUACCAAGGCAACGAUGCGUAGCCGACCUGAGAGGGUGAUCGGCCACACUGGAACUGAGACACGGUCCAGACUCCUACGGGAGGCAGCAGUAGGGAAUCUUCCGCAAUGGGCGAAAGCCUGACGGAGCAACGCCGCGUGAGUGAAGAAGGUCUUCGGAUCGUAAAACUCUGUUAUUAGGGAAGAACAAAUGUGUAAGUAACCAUGCACGUCUUGACGGUACCUAAUCAGAAAGCCACGGCUAACUACGUG
rnacentral:rRNA from 1 species